rnacentral:rRNA from 1 species
UAAUACGUAUGGUGCGAACGUUGUUCGGAAUCACUGGGCUUAAAGAGCACGUAGGCGGUUGAGAAAGUCUGAUGUGAAAUCCCUCGGCUUAACCGAGGAAUUGCAUUGGAAACUUCUCGGCUAGAGUGCAGAAGGGGAGAGUGGAAUUCCUGGUGGAGCGGUGAAAUGCGUAGAUAUCAGGAGGAACGCCGGAGGCGAAAGCGACUCUCUGGUCUGCUACUGACGCUGAGGUGCGAAAGCCAGGGGAGCGAACGGGAUUAGAUACCCCGGUAGUCCUGGCCCUAAACGAUGGGCACUAAGUAGAGGGGGUUCCGAUACCCUCUCUGCCGGAGCAAAAGCAUUAAGUGCCCUGCCUGGGGAGUAUGGUCGCAAGGCUG